GUUACUGUCACUAUACCCCACUCCCUCUAACAUGUAAACUCACUGAGCAGGGCCCCCAAUCCCUCUGUUACUGUGUCACUAUACCCCACUCCCUCUAACAUGUAACUCACUGAGCAGGCCCUCAAUCCCUCUGUUACUGUGUCACUAUACCCCACUCCCUCUAACAUGUAAACUCACUGAGCAGGCCCUCAAUCCCUCUGUUACUGUGUCACUAUACCCCACUCCCUCUAACAUGUAAACUCACUGAGCAGGACCCUCAAUCCCUCUGUUACUGUGUCACUAUACCCCACUCCCUCUAACAUGUAAACUCACUGAGCAGGGCCCUCAAUCCCUCUGUUACUGUGUCACUAUACCCCACUCCCUCUAACAUGUAAACUCACUGAGCAGGGCCCUCAAUCCCUCUGUUACUGUGUCACUAUACCCCACUCCCUCUAACAUGUAAUCUCACUGAGCAGGCCCUCAAUCCCUCUGUUACUGUGUUACUAUACCCCACUCCCUCUAACAUGUAAACUCACUGAGCAGGGCCCUCAAUCUCUCUGUUACUGUGUCACUAUACCCCACUCCCUCUAACAUGUAAACUCACUGAGCAGGGCCUCAAUCCCUCUGUUACUGUGUCACUAUACCCCACUCCCACUAACAUGUAAACUCACUGAGCAGGCCCUCGAUCCCUCUGUUACUGUCACUAUACCCCACUCCCUCUAACAUGUAAACUCACUGAGCAGGCCCUCAAUUCCUCUGUUACUGUGUCAGUAUACCCCACUCCCUGUAGCAUGUAAACUCACUGAGCAGGGCCCUCAAUCCCUCUGUUACUGUGUCAGUAUACCCCACUCCCUGUAGCAUGUAAACUCACUGAGCAGGGCCCUCAAUCCCUCUGUUACUGUCACUAUACCCCAUUCCCUCUAACAUGUAAGCUCAUUGAGCAGGGCCCUCAAUCUCUCUGUUCCUGUGCAUCCAACUCGUCUGGUUACAAUUACAUGUUUAUUAGUCCACCCAUUGUAAAGCGCUACGGAAUUUGUUGGCGCUAUAUAAAUUUAAUAAUAAUCAAGCUGAUUUCUGGACUUGUUUUUGGGCAGUUAUCUGCUUUGCAUCAAAUUUGAGAUUUACUGGAUAGAUUAAGUGUGUAUAUUAAACAAAGUGCCUUUCGUGUCAUUUUUAAAUUCAUAAUCAAAUAACUGUCUUCAAAUUAAAGCAGAUUGGAAUGUAGACUGUAAAUAAAUGGCUUUGUGUGACUAAAGGGUUUCUAUUUCUGCAUUAUGAUUUCUAAAAAAAAUUAAAGGGACACUAUAGUCACCAGAACAACUACAACUUAUUGGUGAAUAGAAUCAUUCCCUUCAGGCUUUUUGCUGUAAACACUGUUUGUCCAGAUAAAAUGCAGUGUUUACAUUACAGCCUAUGGAUACCCCCACUGGCCACUCCUCAGACGGCUACUAGUGGCGCUUCCUGAGGCAGUGCUGCACAAUGUGAUUGACAUUCAGUGUCUCCACCCUCUGCAUGCAAACACUGAACUUUCCUAAUAGAG